UGGGGAAUUUUCCGCAAUGGGCGAGAGCCUGACGGAGCAAUGCCGCGUGGAGGUGGAAGGCCUACGGGUCGUCAACUUCUUUUCUCGGAGAAGAAACAAUGACGGUAUCUGAGGAAUAAGCAUCGGCUAACUCUGCGCCAG
rnacentral:rRNA from 1 species